rnacentral:rRNA from 1 species
CAAUUAAGUUUCUGCCCUAUCAUACUUUCGACGGUAGCGUAUUGGGCUACCGUGGUUGUGACGGGUAACGGAGAAUUAGGGUUCGAUUCCGGAGAGGGGGCCUGAGAGAUGGCCACCACCUCCAAGGAAGGCAGCAGGCGCGCAAAUUACCCAAUCCCGACUCGGGGAGGUAGUGACAAGAAAUAACAAUACGGGAACCGUUUCGGUUUCUGUAAUUGGAAUGAGUACAAUUUAAAUCGCUUAACGAGUAACGAGUGGAGGGCAAGUCUGGUGCCAGCAGCCGCGGUAAUUCCAGCUCCACUAGCGUAUCUUAAUGUUGUUGCAGUUAAAAAGCUCGUAGUUGGAUCUUGGAGGUGCCCGGGGAUCGGUCCGCCUUGACGGCGAGUACUGACCUCAGCUCUCUAUAAGUGGUAGUUACGUACAGGUGGGCCUUAACUGGUCUGCCUGUCUGGGGGAGCCCUCGUGGCGAGCCUGGGGUGCGGCCGGGUGUGCGUCGUGGGGUUUACGCUCUGCGGUGGCACUCGGUCGGGCAACGUGUUACCUAGUUUACUUUGAAAAAAUUAGAGUGUUUAAAGCAGACCUUAGGGUCAUUGAAUACAUUAGCAUGGGGUAAUAGAAAAGGAGAUUAGUCUCAUUUUGUUGGUUUUUUGGGACGGAUCUAAUGAUUAAAAGGGACAGUUGGGGUGGUUUGUAUUGAAUCGUCAGAGGUGAAAUUCAAGGAUUGAUUCAAGACAAACUUCUGCGAAAGCGAUCUACAAGGAUGUUUUCAUUAAUCAAGAACGAAAGUUGGGGGAUCGAAGACGAUCAGAUACCGUCGUAGUCUUAACCAUAAACUAUGCCGACCAAGGAUUGGAGAAAGUUAAAUCAAAACGACUUCCCCAGCACUUUGCGAGAAAUCACAAGUCCUUGGAUUCCGGGGGGAGUAUGGUCGCAAGGCUGAAACUUAAAGGAAUUGACGGAAGGGCACCACCAGGCGUGGAGCCUGCGGCUUAAUUUGACCCAACACGGGGAAACUUACCAGGUCCAGACAACGCUAGGAUUGACAGAUUGAGAGCUCUUUCUUGAUUCGUUGGGUGGUGGUGCAUGGCCGUUCUUAGUUGGUGGUGUGAAUUGUCUGGUUGAUUCCGUUAACGAACGAGACCUUCACUUGCUAAAUAGCUACUGGAAGAUGUUGUAUUCAUGCCAGCUUGGCCAACUUGGGAGCCGAUCCGUUCGCCCCGAGUUGUGGAUCAGGCUGGUUGCAAGUCUUCCAGGACAAGCUUCUUAGAGGGACUUUUGGUGAUAAGCCAAAGGAAGUUGAAGGCAAAAACAGGUCUGUGAUGCCCUUCGAUGUUCUGGGCCGCACGCGCGCUACACUGGUUGAUUCAGCGAGUUUACAACCUGGUCCGAAAGGAUUGGGUAAUCUUGUGAAAUUCAACCGUGAUUGGGAUAGAUGAUUGCAAUUUUUUGUCUUGAACGAGGAAUGCCUAGUAGAUGUAGUUCAUCAAACUGCGUCGACUACGUCCCCGCCCUUUGUACACACCGCCCGUCGCUCCUACCGAUUGAAUGACCCGGUGAAGCCUCCGGAUUGAAGG